AAAGAUUAAGCCAUGCAUGUCUAAGUACAUGCCGUAUUAAGGCGAAACCGCGAAUGGCUCAUUAAAUCAGUUACGGUUCCCUAGAUGUUGACUAUCUACAUGGAUAACUGUGGUAAUUCUAGAGCUAAUACAUGCACAAAAGCCUUGACCUUAACGGAAAAGGCGCAUUUAUUAGACCAAGACCAACGGGUUGGUCAGGCAACUGGCCAAUCCUCAUAUGUGGUGACUCUGGAUAACUUUCGCUAAUCGCAUGGCCUAUGAGCCGGCGAUGAAUCUUUCAAGUGUCUGCCUUAUCAACUGUCGAUGGUAGGUUAUGCGCCUACCAUGGUUG
rnacentral:rRNA from 1 species